AGUUUAAGUACACCAGAAAGAGAUGGCUACUGCACAUAUAUCGUUAAAUGUAUGUACAUAUACAUUUGAAUGGUUAUUCUGACAAAAGCAGUCCACCAAUAGCAACAAAGACGUUGUUUCAACCCCAGUUGAGCCUAUGGAUUUCAAAAUAGUUCAGGAAUGCUGCAGAUUUCCUUCUUCUCAAAUUGCUGAAUUUGCUGCUAACAAUGGAACUUCUUGCUAAGCCGGAACAAUGACUCGAAGAGCAGGUCGCUAUGAGAAAUUCCUUGGUUCUGAAAAUAUUCCAUCCAAAACCCAAGAUUUUUAUACAGAUCGGAUGACAUGCAAAAUCAGUGGCGCAUAGGAUUCUUCGAUCUGAAAGGAAACCAGACAAAACAAAACAAUCUGACAAAUAAAAUCUCUGGCGUUAUUUCAGUGGUCGAAAUCAUAUGAAUGAUUUUUUUACAAACCACAUCUAUAAUUUAAAUUAAAAAUAGAUUAAUUAGGCUAAAAACAAGAUUCUGUCAUUCUGUAAUGACAGCCAAAUAGUGCUUUAAAUGUCCAUUUAAUUCACAAUCAUCUAAUAAAAGUAAGAUUCUUACAUUCAUUGCUUUUACUGACACAAUACAUACAGACAAACACACAUAGAAUACACACAUUCAUACAUGUGAAUGUGGGCGUUGCGCUCAUGUGCCCGUGGGAGGAGCAAGACGGUGGAGUACUAAAAUGUGCCAUGCUAUUGGUUAUCGAAGGGUAACGCCCUCUUAUGAUUUAUUACAUUUGAACCAAGCAGAUGGUCUGAAAUGGAAAUGUGCUAAUCAGAAUAUAAUAUGGAUAUUAGUAAGGAACAUAAAAACGCGCAAGUCUUUAUUUAUGUGUAUUUAUGGAAUAAACCAAAAACAAAUUUUUUACAGGGAAGUGAAUAGCCUUAAAACAAAAAUAAAAAUCCGUUGCUUCUACAUACAUUUCUAAUGGACAUAAAAAACCAUUACCAUUCUAUUCAGUCUCUUCAGUAAGAGCAUGGUCUCCUCAAUAAGAAUAGUCAUACAUUUGUUUGUUAUUUUGUUUCUAUAAUCUAUAUUGUAUACUAGAGGCACUGUGUGAUAAAUUAAAUAAUAGACAAGA